GACGAACGCUGGCGGCGUGCUUAACACAUGCAAGUCGAACGGAAAGGCCCUGCUUUUGUGGGGUGCUCGAUUGGCGAACGCGUGAGUAACACGUGAGUAACCUCCCCUUGACUUUGGGAUAACUUCAGGAAACUGGGGCUAAUACCGGAUAGGAGCUCCUGCUGCAUGGUGGGGGUUGGAAAGUUUCGGCUGUUGGGGAUGGACUCGCGGCUUAUCAGCUUGUUAGUGGGGUAGUGGCUUACCAAGGCUUUGACGGGUAGCCGGCCUGAGAGAGUGGACGGGCACAUUGGGACUGCGGUACGGCGCAGACUGGUAUGGGAGGCAGCAGGGGGGAAUAUGGCACAAUGGGCGCAAGCGUGAUGCAGAAACGCCGCGUGCGGGAUGCCGGCCUUCGGGUUGUAAACAGCUUUGGACUGUGACGAAGCGUGAGUGACGGUAAUGGGUAAAGAAGCACCGGCUAACUACGUG
rnacentral:rRNA from 1 species